UGUAGCGACCGGUGAUCAAGCCGGAGAGGAGAUCGUCAUUGCCAACUUGUCACCAAACCUAGAGGAUCGUUUUAGGGAGUGGUCUUGGAUCUCAUUUUUUUGGGCUUAAGCUAAUAUCAGAUCAAGAGUGGUAGACCGUGGUGGAUCUUGAAAGACUGCCUGUAGAUGUUGCUUGCCCUGUGUAAAAUUGUAGUCCUUGUCAUUGUCUAUCACUAUGUCCCUGUAUUUUGUAUUUUGGACUUCUGUAUCCCGAUUUUGUGUACUUUGUAGAGUUUGUAAUCCUGUAACUCAGUUGGGUUAUUAUAGUUUUA